UACAGAGGUCUCAACCGUUGUUCGGAUUCAUUGGGCGUAAAGGGUGCGUAGGCGGUCGCGUAAGUCAGGUGUGGAAAUCUCAGGGCUCAACCCUGAAACUGCACUUGAUACUGCGUGGCUCGGGUACUGGAGAGGAGACUGGAAUUUACGGUGUAGCAGUGAAAUGCGUAGAUAUCGUAAGGAAGACCAGUGGCGAAGGCGAGUCUCUGGACAGUUACCGACGCUGAGGCACGAAGGUCAGGGGAGCAAACGGG
rnacentral:rRNA from 1 species